CAGCAGCCACGGUAAUACGAAGGGUGCAAGCGUUACUCGGAAUUACUGGGCGUAAAGCGUGCGUAGGUGGUGGUUUAAGUCCGUUGUGAAAGCCCUGGGCUCAACCUGGGAAUUGCAGUGGAUACUGGAUCACUAGAGUGUGGUAGAGGAUAGUGGAAUUUCCGGUGUAGCAGUGAAAUGCGUAGAGAUCGGAAGGAACAUCUGUGGCGAAGGCGACUAUCUGGGCCAACACUGACACUGAGGCACGAAAGCGUGGGGAGCAAACAGGAUUAGAUACCCGAGUAGUCCCUGUCUCUUAUAC
rnacentral:rRNA from 1 species